GUUCAUAGCCUUAAGAUUGCUUAAUAUAGGGAAACCCAUAACCAAUUGUGUACAUAACUUUAAUCUUGUUUUUUGAGUUGGGAAUAUCAGACUCCCCACUUUCUAUACUUACUAUAGAAACUAGAGA